rnacentral:rRNA from 1 species
GAUAAACGCUGGCGGCAUGCUUUACACAUGCAAGUCGAACGGCAGCGGGGUAGUGCUUGCACUACUGUCCGGCGAGUGGCGAACGGGUGAGUAAUAUAUCGGAACGUACCGAGUAAUGGGGGAUAACCAAUCGAAAGAGUGGCUAAUACCGCAUACGUCCUACGGGAGAAAGCGGGGGAUCGCAAGACCUCGCUUUAUUCGAGCGGCCGAUAACUAAUUUGCUAAUUGGGGGGGUGAUGGCCUACCAAGGCGACGAUCAGUAGGUGGUCUGAGAUGACGACCCUCCACACUGGCACGGAGACACUGCCCAGACGCCUCCUUGAGCAUCUGUGGUGUUGUUGGGAUGUGUGUGUUAACGCUGUUCCAGCUGUUGCUCGUGUGUAGGGGUGCUUGUGGUUGUGAGGCCUUUGCCUGUAGGAGGUGAUGUUGUGUUUGGUUUUUUUGUGUUGUCGUGUGGAUAUGUGUGUGUUUGAGUGUGCUGUGCUGUGUGUGAUGGGGUGAUGUGUGUGUGAAUGUGGUUCUAUCGUGUGUGGGGUGUGGUUGUGUGUGUGUGUCAUGCGCUGUUGAGAUGUAGUGUGUGCUGUGGGUGGGGUGUUGUGGGCUUGUGAGUGUGGUGUGUGAUGAUGUGUGUUGUGGUAUGCGUGUAUGCUGUGUGCAUUCGUUGGUGCGUGUGUUGUAUGUGUGUGCUAGGCGUCUGCUGCCUGAUG